rnacentral:rRNA from 1 species
GAUGAACGCUGGCGGCGUGCUUAACACAUGCAAGUCGAACGGAAAGGCUCCUGCUUGCCGGGGUACUCGAGUGGCGAACGGGUGAGUAACACGUGGGUGAUCUGCCCUGCACUUCGGGAUAAGCCUGGGAAACUGGGUCUAAUACCGGAUAGGACCACAUUUUGGAUGGUGUGGUGGAAAGUUUUUCGGUGUGGGAUGAGCUCGCGGCCUAUCAGCUUGUUGGUGGGGUAAUGGCCUACCAAGGCGUCGACGGGUAGCCGGCCUGAGAGGGUGUACGGCCACAUUGGGACUGAGAUACGGCCCAGACUCCGACGGGAGGCAGCAGUGGGGAAUAUUGCACAAUGGGCGCAAGCCUGAUGCAGCGACGCCGCGUGGGGGAUGACGGCCUUCGGGUUGUAAACUCCUUUCGCUAGGGACGAAGCGUUUUUGUGACGGUACCUGGAGAAGAAGCACCGGCUAACUACGUG